ACUCCUACGGGAGGCAGCAGUGGGGAAUAUUGCACAAUGGGGAAACCCUGAUGCAGCCAUGCCGCGUGUGUGAAGAAGGCCUUCGGUUGUAAAGCACUUUCAGUAGGGAGGAAGGUAGUGUAGUUAACACCUGCAUUAUUUGACGUUACCUACAGAAGAAGCACCGGCUAACUCCGUGCCAGCAGCCGCGGUAAUACGGAGGGUGCGAGCGUUAAUCGGAAUUACUGGGCGUAAAGCGCAUGCAGGCGGCCUGUUAAGUCAGAUGUGAAAGCCCGGGGCUUAACCUCGGAAUUGCAUUUGAAACUGGCAGGCUAGAGUCUUGUAGAGGGGGUAGAAUUUCAGGUGUAG
rnacentral:rRNA from 1 species